UAACUUAGUGGCGAACGGGUGAGUAACGCGUGAGUAACCUGCCCUGGAGUGGGGGACAACAGUUGGAAACGACUGCUAAUACCGCAUAAGCCCACGGCCCGGCAUCGGGCUGAGGGAAAAGGAUUUAUUCGCUUCAGGAUGGACUCGCGUCCAAUUAGCUAGUUGGUGAGGUAACGGCCCAUCAAGGCGACGAUUGGUAGCCGGACUGAGAGGUUGAACGGCCACAUUGGGACUGAGACACGGCCCAGACUCCUACGGGAGGCAGCAGUGGGGGAUAUUGCACAAUGGGGGAAACCCUGAUGCAGCGACGCCGCGUGGAGGAAGAAGGUUUUCGGAUUGUAAACUCCUGUCGUUAGGGACGAUAAUGACGGUACCUAACAAGAAAGCACCGGCUAACUACGUGCCAGCAGCCGCGGUAAAACGUAGGGUGCAAGCGUUGUCCGGAAUUACUGGGUGUAAAGGGAGCGCAGGCGGACCGGCAAGUUGGAAGUGAAAUCCAUGGGCUCAACCCGUGAAUUGCUUUCAAAACUGCUGGCCUUGAGUAGUGCAGAGGUAGGUGGAAUUCCCGGUGUAGCGGUGGAAUGCGUAGAUAUCGGGAGGAACACCAGUGGCGAAGGCGACCUACUGGGCACCAACUGACGCUGAGGCUCGAAAGCAUGGGUAGCAAACAGGAUUAGAUACCCUGGUAGUCCAUGCCGUAAACGAUGAUUACUAGGUGUUGGAGGAUUGACCCCUUCAGUGCCGCAGUUAACACAAUAAGUAAUCCACCUGGGGAGUACGACCGCAAGGUUGAAACUCAAAGGAAUUGACGGGGGCCCGCACAAGCAGUGGAGUAUGUGGUUUAAUUCGAAGCAACGCGAAGAACCUUACCAGGUCUUGACAUCCGAUGCAUAGUGCAGAGAUGCAUGAAGUCCUUCGGGACAUCGAGACAGGUGGUGCAUGGUUGUCGUCAGCUCGUGUCGUGAGAUGUUGGGUUAAGUCCCGCAACGAGCGCAACCCUUAUUGCCAGUUACUACGCAAGAGGACUCUGGCGAGACUGCCGUUGACAAAACGGAGGAAGGUGGGGAUGACGUCAAAUCAUCAUGCCCUUUAUGACCUGGGCUACACACGUACUACAAUGGCGUUUAACAAAGAGAAGCAAGACCGCGAGGUGGAGCAAAACUCAAAAACAACGUCUCAGUUCAGAUUGCAGGCUGCAACUCGCCUGCAUGAAGUCGGAAUUGCUAGUAAUCGCGGAUCAGCAUGCCGCGGUGAAUACGUUCCCGGGCCUUGCACACACCGCCCGUCA
rnacentral:rRNA from 1 species